GAUGAACGCUAGCUACAGGCUUAACACAUGCAAGUCGAGGGGCAGCAUGGUCUUAGCUUGCUAAGGCCGAUGGCGACCGGCGCACGGGUGAGUAACACGUAUCCAACCUGCCGUCUACUCUUGGACAGCCUUCUGAAAGGAAGAUUAAUACAAGAUGGCAUCAUGAGUCCGCAUGUUCACAUGAUUAAAGGUAUUCCGGUAGACGAUGGGGAUGCGUUCCAUUAGAUAGUAGGCGGGGUAACGGCCCACCGAGGCGACGAUGCGUAGGGGUUCUGAGAGGAAGGUCCCCCACACUGGUACUGAGACACGGACCAG
rnacentral:rRNA from 1 species